UUCGAGCCCGCGGUCCGGCGCGCUAUCUACUGCCACAAAAACAUGUUCGAGCGGCAUCGUCGAUUUCCGAUGAAAACCCAGGGUCGUUACACUACUGAAGUAUAAAAAGUAAAUGUAGCCUAUAAAUAAUUUCAAAUUCCAUGUAUUAACAAAACCAGAAGGCACAAUGUUCUUGUUGUUUUAAUUUACGGAUAGCCAGGAGCACACUCCCACACUUUUACAAACAAAGUGUGUGUGUUUUGUGAGUCCGCCAUCAGAGGCUGUAAGGAUGACCAGGGCUGUUCUCUUGAUAAGUGCGUGAAUGUCCUGCUAAGCAUUCAAAAUGUAACAAGUACUUUUGGGUGUCAGGGAAGAUGUAUGAAAUGAAAAGUACAUUAUUUAGGGCCUCCCCAUUGGCACAGCGAUCUAAGCAUCACUACAGCCUGGGGUUCGAUACCAGGCUGUGUCAUUACCGGCCGUGCCCGGGAGUCCCAUAAGGUGGUUCACAUUUGGCCCAACAGGUUAGUGCAGUGUUUUGGGGAGGCUUAAUUUGGCACAUCUCGCUAUCUAGCCUGCAGGCUGACCUCGGUUGUCAGUUGAACAUGUUGGUGCAGCUAAAAGUAAAAGUACUACUUGAGUAGUUUUUGGUGAGAUUUGUACUUUAUUAAGGUACUUUACACCACUGGUAAAUAGUACCCACAGAGAUCCUUUAUGGUAAUCUACCUUUCUACCUCAUUGACAGUCCAUUCCAUCUGAUGUGAAUUCCAUAAUAAAUGGUAAUGUGACAUUUGUUUGUUUAUUUGUCCAGUUUCUCUUCUCUCUAGAAGAGGAAUGGUUUGGAGCAACCCAUCCUGGAGUGGGAUGGCAGCUCACUCUCCCUGCUGCCCUGAUUGUUCUUGGUGUGAUAUUACUAUGGAGGACCGUCCUUGCGAUCAAAAGCAGGCUACGUCUAUGUGAGUUUUCCUACCUUUCAUUAAGUAGCUCAGAUGAGGAGAAGAAAGCUUUUGUACUUACAUUUUAUACCGUAGAUUUAGCUCCUUAGUCAUGCCUGAACCAAGACUAAUUUCAUAUUCCCAUCUGUAUCGCCAGUGACUGAGACACAGCUAAACGUGAAACUCGCCCAGCUAUCGAAAAAGAAAUGUGACAUAAUGAUUAAAUUGUCUGAAAUGGAGACACUGGUACGUUUCAGAAGAUAAGUCAGACCUGGGACAUUCUGGACUUGAAUAACAUACUUUUCCAUGAUAAUUGUAACUUAUGUUCUAAAUCUGGUUGGCUUUAGUUGAAGGACUAUGACGCGCCAGUGAAAAGGUUGCGGGCAUGCCUGCAGUCCUCUCAGGAGGAUAGUCAGGAGCUGGAGGUAAGCAGUCAGAGAACUAUUAUUCCUCAACCCCUUUAACUAGUUUCCCUGCCCUCUACAGUGUAUGACCA
rnacentral:lncRNA from 13 species